rnacentral:rRNA from 1 species
UUGGAGGGCAAGUCUGGUGCCAGCAGCCGCGGUAAUUCCAGCUCCAAUAGCGUAUAUUAAAGUUGUUGCAGUUAAAAAGCUCGUAGUUGAAUUUCGGGAUCAGUACGUUGGUCGUGCCUUAGGUACGUACUGGUGUUACUGGUUCCUACCUUCUGACGAACCAUCAUGUCAUUAAUUUGGUGUGGCGGGGAAUCAGGACUGUUACUUUGAAAAAAUUAGAGUGUUUAAAGCAGGCUCGCGCUUGAAUACAUUAGCAUGGAAUAAUGAAAUAGGACGUUGAUCCUAUUUUGUUGGUUUCUAGGAUUGACGUAAUGAUUAAUAGGGAUAGUUGGGGGCAUUAGUAUUCAAUUGUCAGAGGUGAAAUUCUUGGAUUUAUUGAAGACUAACUACUGCGAAAGCAUUUGCCAAGGAUGUUUUCAUUAAUCAAGAACGAAAGUUAGGGGAUCGAAGACGAUCAGAUACCGUCGUAGUCUUAACCAUAAACUAUGCCGACUAGGGAUCGGAUGGUGUUAUUUUUAAUGACUCAUUCGGCGCCUUACGGGAAAC